AUUGAACGCUGGCGGCAGGCCUAACACAUGCAAGUCGAACGGUAACAGGAAACAGCUUGCUGUUUCGCUGACGAGUGGCGGACGGGUGAGUAAUGUCUGGGAAACUGCCUGAUGGAGGGGGAUAACUACUGGAAACGGUAGCUAAUACCGCAUAACGUCGCAAGACCAAAGAGGGGGACCUUCGGGCCUCUUGCCAUCGGAUGUGCCCAGGGGGGAUUAGCUAGUAGGUGGGGUAACGGCCCACCUAGGCGACGAUCCCGUGCUGGUGUGAGAGGAUGACCAGCCACACUGGAACUGAGACACGGUCCAGACUCCUACGGGAGGCAGCAGUGGGGAAUAUUGCACAAUGGGCGCAAGCCUGAUGCAGCCAUGCCGCGUGUAUGAAGAAGGCCUUCGGGUUGUAAAGUACUUUCAGCGGGGAGGAAGGGAGUAAAGUUAAUACCUUUGCUCAUUGACGUUACCCGCAGAAGAAGCACCGGCUAACUCCGUGCCAGCCGCCGCCGUAA
rnacentral:rRNA from 1 species